rnacentral:lncRNA from 1 species
CCAGAACCCUAAUGGGAGAAGAAGGGCAAGUGUGGGCAAGUGUUGCCCUAGCUCUCCUGCCUGCAGCCAUUUCUCAAGCAACCUGGUUCUCAGGGAGACUUCAAGAACCAGUUUCUGGUCUUUGCUUGAAAAGGAAACCAGUCAUUCAAGGGUAAAUCAUAAGUACUAAAUGAAAAGCUCUGUGACUGUACACUAAAGACUUCAUCACAAGGUGACGUGUCAGACCUGAAGAGCAACUGAAAGUCACAGUGGAAUUCAGACUCAUCAUUGAUGACCAGGACAAGAAACCAAGAUCAAGGUGCAGCUGAGUAUAGGAGAAUCAUCAGGGACCAAACACCAGCAUGAGAACUCAUUCGAGUUUUGAAACAGAUUCUCACUGCUCUGGCCCUGAAUGCCUGCCUGCAGAGAUCUUCCUGCUUUGCCCUUCCAAGUAGCUAGGGUUAUAUAUAUAAGCUUGAAGCAGAAACAACAUUGAGAGUCCUGCUUACUGGCUUGCUCAGCUACCUUUCUUACCCAGCUUGGGUCUACAGGCCUAAGGAUGGUACUGCAAGGGGUAGGCUGGUCCUUCCUACAUCAAUUACCAACUGAGAAAAAGCCUCAGAGAUGUGG